rfam:Triticum aestivum genome assembly, contig: Triticum_aestivum_CS42_TGACv1_scaffold_500463_6BL
UUUCUAUUCCCUCUGUUCGGAAAUACUUGUCGAGAGAUUGAUUGUAUCUAGAUGUAUUUCAAUUCUAGAUACGUCUAUUUUCAUCGAUUUAUGCGACAAGUAAUUUCGGACGGAGGGACUACUAA